rnacentral:rRNA from 1 species
GACGAACGCUGGCGGCGUGCCUAAUACAUGCAAGUUGAGCGCUGAAGGUUGGUACUUGUACCAACUGGAUGAGCAGCGAACGGGUGAGUAACGCGUGGGGAAUCUGCCUUUGAGCGGGGGACAACAUUUGGAAACGAAUGCUAAUACCGCAUAAAAACUUUAAACACAAGUUUUAAGUUUGAAAGAUGCAAUUGCAUCACUCAAAGAUGAUCCCGCGUUGUAUUAGCUAGUUGGUGAGGUAAAGGCUCACCAAGGCGAUGAUACAUAGCCGACCUGAGAGGGUGAUCGGCCACAAUGGGACUGAGACACGGCCCAAACUCCUACGGGAGGCAGCAGUAGGGAAACUUCGGCAAUGGACGAAAGUCCUACCGAGCAACGCCGCGUGAGUGAAGAAGGUUUUCGGAUCGUAAAACUCUGUUGGUAGAGAAGAACGUUGGUGAGAGUGGAAAGCUCAUCAAGUGACGGUAACUACCCAGAAAGGGACGGCUAACUACGUG